rnacentral:rRNA from 1 species
UUAAGCGACUAAGCGUACACGGUGGAUGCCCUGGCAGUCAGAGGCGAUGAAGGGCGUGCUAAUCUGCGAUAAGCGCCGGUAAGGUGAUAUGAACCGUUAUAACCGGCGAUACCCGAAUGGGGAAACCCAGUGUGAUUCGUCACACUAUCAUUAACUGAAUCCAUAGGUUAAUGAGGCGAACCGGGGGAACUGAAACAUCUAAGUACCCCGAGGAAAAGAAAUCAACCGAGAUUCCCCCAGUAGCGGCGAGCGAACGGGGAGGAGCCCAGAGCCUGAAUCAGCAUGUGUGUUAGUGGAAGCGUCUGGAAAGGCGCGCGAUACAGGGUGACAGCCCCGUACACAAAAGCGCAUGUGCUGUGAGCUCGAUGAGUAGGGCGGGACACGUGGUAUCCUGUCUGAAUAUGGGGGGACCAUCCUCCAAGGCUAAAUACUCCUGACUGACCGAUAGUGAACCAGUACCGUGAGGGAAAGGCGAAAAGAACCCCGGCGAGGGGAGUGAAAAAGAACCUGAAACCGUGUACGUACAAGCAGUGGGAGCACAGGUUUACCUGUGUGACUGCGUACCUUUUGUAUAAUGGGUCAGCGACUUAUAUUCUGUAGCAAGGUUAACCGUAUAGGGGAGCCGUAGGGAAACCGAGUCUUAACCGGGCGUUAAGUUGCAGGGUAUAGACCCGAAACCCGGUGAUCUAGCCAUGGGCAGGUUGAAGGUUGGGUAACACUAACUGGAGGACCGAACCGACUAAUGUUGAAAAAUUAGCGGAUGACCUGUGGCUGGGGGUGAAAGGCCAAUCAAACCGGGAGAUAGCUGGUUCUCCCCGAAAGCUAUUUAGGUAGCGCCUCGUGAAUUCAUCUCCGGGGGUAGAGCACUGUUUCGGCUAGGGGGCCAUCCCGGCUUACCAACCCGAUGCAAACUGCGAAUACCGGAGAAUGUUAUCACGGGAGACACACGGCGGGUGCUAACGUCCGUCGUGAAGAGGGAAACAACCCAGACCGCCAGCUAAGGUCCCAAAGUCAUGGUUAAGUGGGAAACGAUGUGGGAAGGCCCAGACAGCCAGGAUGUUGGCUUAGAAGCAGCCAUCAUUUAAAGAAAGCGUAAUAGCUCACUGGUCGAGUCGGCCUGCGCGGAAGAUGUAACGGGGCUAAACCAUGCACCGAAGCUGCGGCAGCGACACUGUGUGUUGUUGGGUAGGGGAGCGUUCUGUAAGCCUGUGAAGGUGGCCUGUGAGGGUUGCUGGAGGUAUCAGAAGUGCGAAUGCUGACAUAAGUAACGAUAAAGCGGGUGAAAAGCCCGCUCGCCGGAAGACCAAGGGUUCCUGUCCAACGUUAAUCGGGGCAGGGUGAGUCGACCCCUAAGGCGAGGCCGAAAGGCGUAGUCGAUGGGAAACGGGUUAAUAUUCCCGUACUUGGUGUUACUGCGAAGGGGGGACGGAGAAGGCUAUGUUGGCCGGGCGACGGUUGUCCCGGUUUAAGCGUGUAGGUGUGUGUUCCAGGUAAAUCCGGUUCACUUUAACACUGAGGCGUGAUGACGAGGCACUACGGUGCUGAAGCAACAAAUGCCCUGCUUCCAGGAAAAGCCUCUAAGCAUCAGGUAACAUCAAAUCGUACCCCAAACCGACACAGGUGGUCAGGUAGAGAAUACCAAGGCGCUUGAGAGAACUCGGGUGAAGGAACUAGGCAAAAUGGUGCCGUAACUUCGGGAGAAGGCACGCUGACACGUAGGUGAAGUGAUUUACUCAUGGAGCUGAAGUCAGUCGAAGAUACCAGCUGGCUGCAACUGUUUAUUAAAAACACAGCACUGUGCAAACACGAAAGUGGACGUAUACGGUGUGACGCCUGCCCGGUGCCGGAAGGUUAAUUGAUGGGGUCAGCGCAAGCGAAGCUCCUGAUCGAAGCCCCGGUAAACGGCGGCCGUAACUAUAACGGUCCUAAGGUAGCGAAAUUCCUUGUCGGGUAAGUUCCGACCUGCACGAAUGGCGUAAUGAUGGCCAGGCUGUCUCCACCCGAGACUCAGUGAAAUUGAACUCGCUGUGAAGAUGCAGUGUACCCGCGGCAAGACGGAAAGACCCCGUGAACCUUUACUAUAGCUUGACACUGAACAUUGAGCCUUGAUGUGUAGGAUAGGUGGGAGGCUUUGAAGCGUGGACGCCAGUCUGCGUGGAGCCGACCUUGAAAUACCACCCUUUAAUGUUUGAUGUUCUAACGUGGACCCGUAAUCCGGGUUGCGGACAGUGUCUGGUGGGUAGUUUGACUGGGGCGGUCUCCUCCUAAAGAGUAACGGAGGAGCACGAAGGUUGGCUAAUCCUGGUCGGACAUCAGGAGGUUAGUGCAAUGGCAUAAGCCAGCUUGACUGCGAGCGUGACGGCGCGAGCAGGUGCGAAAGCAGGUCAUAGUGAUCCGGUGGUUCUGAAUGGAAGGGCCAUCGCUCAACGGAUAAAAGGUACUCCGGGGAUAACAGGCUGAUACCGCCCAAGAGUUCAUAUCGACGGCGGUGUUUGGCACCUCGAUGUCGGCUCAUCACAUCCUGGGGCUGAAGUAGGUCCCAAGGGUAUGGCUGUUCGCCAUUUAAAGUGGUACGCGAGCUGGGUUUAGAACGUCGUGAGACAGUUCGGUCCCUAUCUGCCGUGGGCGCUGGAGAACUGAGGGGGGCUGCUCCUAGUACGAGAGGACCGGAGUGGACGCAUCACUGGUGUUCGGGUUGUCAUGCCAAUGGCACUGCCCGGUAGCUAAAUGCGGAAGAGAUAAGUGCUGAAAGCAUCUAAGCACGAAACUUGCCCCGAGAUGAGUUCUCCCUGAGACUUAGAGUCUCCUGAAGGAACGUUGAAGACGACGACGUUGAUAGGCCGGGUGUGUAAGCGCAGCGAUGCGUUGAGCUAACCGGUACUAAUGAACCGUGAGGCUUAACCUU